rnacentral:misc_RNA from 1 species
UACGGAGGGUGCAAGCGUUAUCCGGAUUUACUGGGUUUAAAGGGUGCGUAGGCGGCUUUUUAAGUCAGUGGUGAAAGCCUAGUGCUUAACACUAGAAUGGCCAUUGAUACUGGAAAGCUUGAGUCAAGGAGAGGUAAGCAGAAUUUAUGGUGUAGCAGUGAAAUGCUUAGAUACCAUAAGGAAUACCAAUAGCGAAGGCAGCUUACUGGCCUUGAACUGACGCUGAGGCACGAAAGCGUGGGGAGCAAACAGG